UUCUAACAUUAUGCACAUCUA
rnacentral:miRNA from 1 species